UACGUAGGGUGCAGGCGUUAAUCGGAAUUACUGGGCGUAAAGCGUGCGCAGGCGGUUUGCUAAGACAGGUGUGAAAUCCCCGGGCUUAACCUGGGAACUGCGCUUGUUACUGGCAAGCUGGAGUGUGGCAGAGGGGGGUGGAAUUCCACGUGUAGCAGUGAAAUGCGUAGAGAUGUGGGGGAACACCGAUGGCGAAGGCAGCCCCCUGGGCUAACACUGACGCUCAUGCACGAAAGCGUGGGGAGCAAACAGG
rnacentral:rRNA from 1 species